rnacentral:rRNA from 1 species
UACAUGGGGUGCAAACGUUGCUCGGAAUUAUUGGGCGUAAAGCGCACGUAGGCGGUUUGUUAAGUCGGAUGUGAAAUCCCUCGGCUCAACUGAGGAAGUGCAUCCGAAACUGGCAGGCUUGAGUACUAAAGAGGGUCGCGGAAUUCCCGGUGUAGAGGUGAAAUUCGUAGAUAUCGGGAGGAACACCGGUGUCGAAGGCGGCGACCUGGGUAGAUACUGACGCUGAGGUGCGAAAGCGUGGGGAGCAAACGGG